rnacentral:rRNA from 1 species
GAUGAACGCUGGCGGCGUGCCUAAUACAUGCAAGUCGAGCGAACGGACGAGAAGCUUGCUUCUCUGAUGUUAGCGGCGGACGGGUGAGUAACACGUGGAUAACCUACCUAUAAGACUGGGAUAACUUCGGGAAACCGUAGCUAAUACCGGAUAAUAUUUUGAACCGCAUGGUUCAAAAGUGAAAGACGGUCUUGCUGUCACUUAUAGAUGGAUCCGCGCUGCAUUAGCUAGUUGGUAAGGUAACGGCUUACCAAGGCAACGAUGCAUAGCCGACCUGAUAGGGUGAUCGCCCACACUGGAACUGAGACACGGUCCAGACUCCUACGGGAGGCAGCAGUAGGGAAUCUUCCGCAAUGGGCGAAAGCCUGACGGAGCAACGCCGCGUGAGUGAUGAAGGUCUUCGGAUCGUAAAACUCUGUUAUUAGGGAAGAACAUAUGUGUAAGUAACUGUGCACAUCUUGACGGUACCUAAUCAGAAAGCCACGGCUAACUACGUG